rnacentral:rRNA from 1 species
GUCGUACAGGUCUCCGUAGGUGAACCUGCGGAGGGAUCAUUACACAAAUAUGAAGGCGGGCUGGAACCUCUCGGGGUUACAGCCUUGCUGAAUUAUUCACCCUUGUCUUUUGCGUACUUCUUGUUUCCUUGGUGGGUUCGCCCACCACUAGGACAAACAUAAACCUUUUGUAAUUGCAAUCAGCGUCAGUAACAAAUUAAUAAUUACAACUUUCAACAACGGAUCUCUUGGUUCUGGCAUCGAUGAAGAACGCAGCGAAAUGCGAUAAGUAGUGUGAAUUGCAGAAUUCAGUGAAUCAUCGAAUCUUUGAACGCACAUUGCGCCCUUUGGUAUUCCAAAGGGCAUGCCUGUUCGAGCGUCAUUUGUACCCUCAAGCUUUGCUUGGUGUUGAGCGUCUUGUCUCUAGCUUUGCUGGAGACUCGCCUUAAAGUAAUUGGCGGCCGGCCUACUGGUUUCGGAGCGCAGCACAAGUCGCACUCUCUAUCAGCAAAGGUCUAGCAUCCAUUAAGCCUUUUUUUCAACUUUUGACCUCGGAUCAGGUAGGGAUACCCGCUGAACUUA